rnacentral:lncRNA from 1 species
AUCACCAUCCAAUAUAGUAGCAUUUGAACCAGAACUCUUGUUAAAUUCUUGAAAUCUCCUGCUUUCAUCAGUCUGUAAGAGAAAUGAAGAUGAGAAUAAUAGCCAGAACCGGAUUAAAUUCAAUCUGGUCUUUUGAAGACUUCUAUAACAACUAAGAGAACCCAGUGUACCGCCUACAGAUACUGUCAGGCUUCUAUCAAAUAUCCCAAACACCAAAAACCAACCCAAUUAAGCUAACAAACCUGCAUGAAUAUCUAAAUUUCAAUGCACGUGAAACAAACUCCGUGUUCAAUCCACCAAAACUAGCAAAUUUCAAACUUUAUCACUCAUCAUUCUCUCUCUGUCAGCUGUAUGAGGCUAUGAGAUCAUGUUAUAAUGUUCAUAUUGAUGCUGAAUGUUUUGCCAGCUUGUCUGAAUUCCAUAAGAGAAUGCAAUGUGCACAUUAUUGUGCCUUGCCCACCAUUAGAUUCUAAACCACAAAAUCAUUGUGUGAAGUAGCUGACGUUUCGCACAUUCUUAUCCCUUAUCAUCAAUAUUCUUCUCCUCAAGCUUAGAUCAUGGAAAUUUGAGUGACAAACAUGAUAACAUGGUAACACCAUCUAAACUUUAGGGGCAUAAAGUAACAUAGAAGCAACAUGGGAUGUUUUAAAAUCUAUUAUAAUUUGCUUAGGCCCCUGAAUAAAAUUAAAACUUGUAAUGAAAUAAAGUAGCAAAAUAAAGAUUGGAGGUCGCAUGCUUGAUAUUUGAUGCUGUCAAAAUUAAUUUGCAGUGCUGAAAUUGCUGCUCCAAUAAAUUUUUCAAUGGGAUUUCUAUAUUUACAACAAAUUUUCAGUAUUGAAACAGGAUUAAAAUCAUAAAGUAUCUUUUAAACAGCAGAGGCAACAAGAUCCUACAGAAAAAGAAGGCAAAAAGUAGUUACAAGCUACAGAAACGCAAAUAUUCUACUGGCCAACUCCCACUAAAUUCGAAGCAAUUCUAAAAUCUCAGCUUGUACUACGACAUCAUUCCUUCUAUGUGGCCCAACUGUACUUCACCCAGAAAUCACAUUUCUUCAUCAGAGAUAAUUUUACUUCUAAUAAGAGAGAAUUUUUUAUAUGCAUGGCUUUACAGUAAUGAAUAAUUUUCCUUAAAUCUUUUCUAACAGACAAGAAAGCACAAAGCACAAAAAUUGAUAUAAACAACUUUUCUCGAAGCUUUUUCAUAAGAAAACCUGAACAUGAUUGCUUCUCUUAGAAGGCCCCCUAGCUUCCUGCAAGAACCUUGUGCCCCCAAAAAAAACAAAGGAUUAUAAUUAGGCAUAAGGCUCCCAAUGUUCUUGCAGGAAUUAUGAUGAAUAUGAGAGUUUCAAAAAAGAAAAAAAAAUAUUACGACAACCUCUAGGCGGAGGAAAUCAGUUUUCUAGGAAUUCGUUAGAUUGGUGAAGUUAUAGAACCGCAGCAAUUUGCUGUAGUUUGGAAUGUUUUUGCCUUUCAUUAUAGCAUUUGAAAAGGCUCAAGGAUAUAGAAGAACCUUGGCUACAAAUUCAGGGAAGAUUUCACUUAUAAUGAGAAAUAAUCACCAUUAUUAUAUACAAUGAGAAAACAGUUAUGGAAGAAAUAGAAAGAAUUACCCGAAACGGAGGAUUUGGAAGACAAUGAGACAAAAGUAUAAAGAAGAAGAAAUUGGAGAUAUAAUGACUGCCUAUUUCUUUGAUGAACCCAUCAAAAACGGCUUGAAAAUUAAAGAAAUUGUAAAAUGCUGUAACGGAGGAAUUGAAACUGUAAAAGAUGCAAGUUAAUUCAUGGGGCUGGCCAUCUUGAUUGAUUGAACACCUAUUAGAUUUUUAAUAUUAAAGAACUCACUUUAAUGAUGUUUAAUUGGUAGUAGCCCUUUAUAGUCUUUAAACCUUUAGCAGUGCAAAGUCACAAGCUUUGUCCAGAAUCUAAGGGCGUAAGUUAUAGGCGAUGGGUGCCAUCACCUGGGCAACGACGUACAUCGCUUGGGCGACAAGCCAAUUUACUAGGCUCAUCGCAAACAGCCUUCGUCGCCUGGGCGAUGGCCAAAUCCAUCCAAUAAACUUUCAGCUCAUGUUUGAUAGUCUAAAAAAAGUAGUUAUGGUGGCCAUCACACAUCACAUUUUACUGACAAGCUGUCUUAAUUUUCAUAGAAAAUUGUUCCUACUGAUUUUCCAAUACUGGCCUAAUACUUGCAGAUUAUUAAACGAUUAUGGAAUGGCGGCGAUUUUAGACCAGUAAUUUUGUCAAUAAUUGCUAAUUCGCAAUCCCUUUACAAAUCUAAUAAUCUACUGCAUACACGCUCUUGAUGACUUGGAUUCUCAAAAAAUAACCAUUUUACGCCGCUGAAGCGCAGAAAAAUCAAUUGUUUUAUCCACUUCCAAAUAAAACUUAUUCUAGUAAAUGCGAUAAAGAAAUGUUUAUUUCAAUUUCCAACCCAGAUCUCAUAAAGAAUUUCUCACUCAAAUAAACAAAUAAAUAUCAUCUGGUAAUGGUAUGACAUUUAUUUUGAAGUAAACACUGGCCCACUAUUUUCUCAAUUUUCCAUUGUUUGAGGACACCAUUUUCUCAAUUGAAGAACAUGUUCUGGCCAAAAUUCACAAUUUUCUCCACGUGAUUUAAAGCACACAGGAUUCACACUUUUCUCCACGUGAUUUAAAAGCACACAGAAUUCUCCUGACCUUAAUUACGGAUCUUAUUAUGUUUAUUGAAAUCCAAUAUUGUAGACUCAUUGUUGUAGCUAGAAAAUCAUAUUAAUAGAGUAAAAUUUAUAAAUAAUCAAAGAAAAGAGUUCACGCUCUUACUUCAUUACUUUUAUAAUCUUAUUAGUAUAUCUACUUACAUGUCUUCAGAAAAUACAGUUUUAAGAGGAUAUUUUUAUUUUUCUUCGUAAUAAUAGAUUUAAUUUUCAUCUUUCUAAUGUUAAGUUGCAUAUUUGGAGUAAAUAAUAUUAAAUUUCAAAUUAGAUCACAGACCCCAUUUUAAUAGAUUCAAUUGGAUUUUGGACAUCUAAUUAAACAACUGGACUAAUAAAUUGCAAAUGAAUGAGAUUUAUAUGUGAUUUUAAAAUAAAAUUUGAACUCAAAUCUAUGUAUUUAAUUAAUCCAACAGGACAAAUUUAUAAUUUUCACCAACUAAAUAAAAUAUGUUAUCAGAAACUUUUGGACCAAGUCGCGCACUUCGUGGGUCUGCUACUACUUAUAGUCCAUUCUCAUUCAACUUUCACAUCUUUUAUAUUAUGUACAAAUUGGAUUAUAUUCUAAAACAGUGUUUCUAAUUGUUUAACGUUUUAUUUCUGGGUAUAUUUAGAGAUUAAAAAAUAUGGGAAACAUAAUUAAUUUUAUCAAAUAAAAAGGAGUAUUGUUCAUUUUUUCAUAAACAAUGUGUUAAAAUACUUUUGGUAUUUAAGAAGUAAAAAUUUUUAUUUUUGUUUCAUAAAAAAGCAUUCAAAAUUAUAUUAAAUAAAAUUAAAGAUUAACAAAACUGACAUCUGAAUUUCGUGCAAAUUAUAAUAAGUUUAUCUCCAGCGUGAGUAACAUUAAAGCUUGGCUAGCAUCAUCAUAUUUUAUCUCCAGCAUCAAAAUUCUGAUAACAUCAACAUCAUAAUUCCAAGGUUGUCAAAACUAAUUAUCAAAUUAAAAUCCUUUGUGAUUUAAGCUCUCUUGGACUUUUAAAAAUGUUAUGCCACCCCUUCUUUAAUAAUAGUAGUAUAUGAUUAUGAUUUAAUUAUUUUAUUUUUUUAAUUUAUCAAACACCAAUCACUUAAAUUAAACUCAAGAAAAAAAUUAGAACAUCAAAGAAUUUUAAUUGCUUCUUAUUAAGUACUAGAAUUAACUUCUCCCAAUGAUAAUUUAUUAAGCAAACCAUAAUGAUCAUCUUACACUAAAGAACCAACCCAUCUUCAAAACACAAGAAUUUAGUACAAAUAAUUAUCCCAAUAAAGUUUAACGAAAAAGAAAAGAGAUAUUUUUAUUAUUUCUUUUACUUUCUUAGUGGCUCUGCUACUACCUAUAGUCCAUUCUUAUUCAACAUACAGAUCUUUUAUAUUAUAUGCAAAUUAAAAUAUAUUCUAAAAAGUGUAUCCAACUGGUUAACAUAUUAUUUCUAUAUAAUAAUCAAUUUUAUCAAAUAAAAAGGAGUUUUGGUCAUUCAUUUGGCUCCGUUGCCACUGUUGUACGCUACAAAAGCUUUUGUCUUUGCUGACUCAGUUACUGUAAAAUGUCGUUCAGCCCCUUAUACUCUAUUUUAUUUAUAAGAAUUAUAAAAAUUUCUAAUUACCUACACUUUCAAAAUUCAAUUUAUCUCCUUACAAUCUUUUUCAUUUACUUUUUUUUGUAAGUAUUAAAAAGUUUCUAUUUACAACCACGACAUAGUAAUCAUCAUAACACACGAAUAUUUAUAAAAAUAUAAAAAUAUCACUAAAUUAAUACUAAAAAAUGUUUUCCUCUCUUGAGGAAUUAUGGUAUCUCAUUUUCGAUCACUCAUUAUCAACAAAAUUUUCAAAGAUAUGAUCAUUCAUCUUCUUUAUAAUAUCAUCUUAUAAUAAUUAAUACUUUCAUGAUUAAAAAAAUUAACAAAAUAAAGAUAAAUUCCCUUUGAAUCCAUCCCUCUCUACUAUCAUUUUCUCUUCAUUAGCAACAUUUAUCAAUAAUUGAAGCCACCAUCAGACUCAUCACACAGAGAGAGUGAGAGAGGGGAAGAAGAAACGGGAAAAAAAAAUAUAUGAGACAUUUACAAUUUUAUAGUGUGUUUAUUCAACGAGAUUCAUAUAUAGUUGCUAAGGGGUUUCAUUAGACACAGAGAGUUUAUUACACUGAAACUUUUAAUCCAGUAGUUAAGGCCUCAACAAUCAGAGUUAUUCUUAGCCUAGCAGUACUUAACAAGUGGAUAAUCAGACAAGUGGAUAUUAAUAAUGCCUUAAUGGCAUUUCAGUUGAAGAAGUUUACAUGGCACAACCUGAGGGAUUUGUGGAUCCUACUAAACCCCAACACAUCUGCAAAUUAAAAAGGACUAUAUAUGGCUUGAAGCAAGCUCUCAGGGCUUGGUUUGAUAGAUUCAAAGCUGCAAUGAUUACUCAAUGACAUUUUCAACACUCAAAAUCAGAUAAAAAAUAUCAAAAUAUUUAUAUCAUUAAACUUUUAGGCCUAAUUAACUAAUUAAAGUUCUAAAUUUUUAUUUAGGACAUUAAAAAGACCGGAUAGAUUCUAUUAGCCCAAAAAUUUUAUUUUAAUUUUAAUAUUCAUUAAAUAUUUUAAACUUAAAUCUAUUUUUUAUUUAUUUUUAGAUGUUAGAAUUGCCCACAGCGAAUCACAAUUUUAAUAUCUAAUCUAAUUUAAUCUAAUAUUUGCUCUUGAUUUGCUCUUACUUAACUAUUGUGUUGUAAAGGGAAUAGUCCACAUUUAUAAAGUGCCCACGCCACCCUUGAAAAAGUUAAUUUUGAAUCUAAAUUUGAUUUUAUUUGUAACAAUUUUGUAUUAGACUAUUAAUUUAUUUAUGAUAGUUUGUAAAAGAAGUUUGUAUCCCUUGCAUGCUGCGUUACUUACUAAUUUAAUGUAUGUGACUUUUGUAAUGGAUAUUAAUGCAAGAUAUUUUUCGAACUUUACUUUUAUUUAAAUUUUAUUUUAAUAUGAUUAACUCAAAUCGAAAAUAAAAAAAUGUAUUAAUUAUUCGGGGAUCGGGGACCCUCGGGGAUCCCCUAUUAUUAUUCGGGGAGGAGAUAGAGAUUCUCUUAAGUAAUUCUGACAGGGACGGGAAGGGGAUGAGGACAUACACAAAAUAUUGGGAAUGGUUACGGGGAGAUUGGUCCCCUCCCCUCCCCUCCCCAUUGCCAUCCCUAACUCCCUGACUAAAUAAUUUGGGAAUAUAAGGAUGCAAUAAGAGUUGAGUGGUCUUUAUUCCCAUAGCAUUAUUUUUUUCUCGCUUCAUCCGUGCUCUAUUCAAUCUUUAUGUGCCGCUUGUGUUAUGUUCCUGCAUAUCUAAUUACCUUUAGCUGCUUGUGUUAUGUUUACUUGUUUUGAUCUUAAUCUUUAAUCACUUAGCCUGAAUAAGAAAUAAUUUUUUAUAUUUGCUCUGCAAUGAUGUUAUUCGGUGUUAAUAGCUUCGUUUUGUUACUCUUUUCCGCACAGAUUCUUGAUCUCAACAGAACUUUUAUUUUGAAUAUUCUGCAUAAGGACAAUCUCAUUUAAUACCAUCAGUGAUUUUUCAUUUUUUUUCUCUUUAGUUUUAAUAUGUUUGAUAACUGUAUGGCUAAGCAAUCUAUGCAAUUUUAUCUUGUCGUAUGUUUGAGCUCAUUUUUUGUUGCAAUUCUGAAUAUUUGGUAUGAAUUAUGUGAUACCGGACAAUACUGUUAACUUGUUCAUUUCUUAAUUUUAAUAUCUUGUCAAAGUCACUAAUAGCAUUUCAUCAUGCUAUGAGUUAAACAUGGAACAAAUGACGACAUGCAGUUGUGGAAUGUGGUAGAUCUCUGGAAUUCUAUGUCCUUAUGCUUGUAGGGCAACACAAUACAUUAGUUAAAACAUUAAAGACUAUGAUGUCCGCAGAAAAUUAUAUGUCAACAUAUGCACCAGGCAUGAUGAAAUUAGCCAAAGACAGUGCUUGGAAACAAUUAACUAACUUUUGGCAUUAGGCGUAUCAAGUUCAAUUCGGUAUUUCACAAAACUUAAACUAACUUAUUCCUAAUUAUAGUGGACACAAUUAACUAACUUUGGCAACUGUUCUGAAGAGGAUGACUUCUUCAGGAUGACAUCAACUACCAGCGAUGAUACUAUCAGUAAGCUGCUUCUGCUAUCUAUUAAAUAUUACUGCUAAACGUAAUAUUGACAAUUUGUCUGUGUGCAGGCCUGUGAUAACCACUUGGAUCGGAUAAAGGACUGGGACAUCAACAAUUUGCCCAGAAACCAAUAAGAUAUCAUUGUAAUGUUUAAUUAUACAUGUAUUAGUUUCUCUUUGGAUGGUGCUCUUUGUUAUGCAAAAGUAUGGCGACUAUGUUUCAACCAGUGUAUCUAUUAUAUACACUAACUAUGAAUUACUAGAAAUUUUAUUACAUUAAUCAUUUUUAGAUAGCCACUCAUCUCAAACGAAACAAACUGGUCAGAGACACUUGACCCAACAUGCUUGUGAUCGACCUUAGAAUAAAUUUUUCUCACUCAAUAUAGACAACUUCUGUGAGGUUAAUAUUUCUUCAAAUGUCAAGAAAAGCAUUGGCCACAUAAAUGCAUACACAUGUUUUUGUUGGGAAGUUAAGCAGACGGGAACAACAUUGGACUAUAUACUCAUACACCAAACUUUAAUAAACUAAUAAAUAUAAUUUAAUAAUAAUUUAUUUCUCCUCGCUUAUGUGAGAAAAAGUCAAACCACAUAACGUAUUUAUAUUUUGUUAAGAAAUUUUACUGAUUGAACUAAUUAACACUAAUUUCUUAUCUCUCUUAACCAACGGAUAUUUUGAAGAUAGUUUUUUAUUUUCUAUAUUUUAUGUACUAAAUGAUUUUAAACCUCUAUCACGUCAUGAAUAAAUUGGAGUUUAGGUUGCUUAAAAUAAUAAUAAUAAUAAUAAUAAUAAUAAUAAUAAUAAUAAUUAAUAAAUGUAUUGAUGGAUUUCAUAAUCAUCCCACUUAGGGGUGGGCACGGUUCGGUUCGGUUCGAAAUUAAGUAGAACCGAUUUAAAUCGGUUAUUUUAUAAAAAGAACCGAAUAAGAACCAAACUCAAUAAGAACCAAACUCAAUAAGAACCGAACUCAAACGGUUCUUUUCGGAUCGGUUCGGUUCGGUUCGGUUUUUUCGGUUCUGGGUCUAUUGGGCCUAUUUUGAAUUUUUAAAUUUUUAGCCCAUUGGGCCUCAUAAAUGUAAUAAUUUUUUUCAACAAUUAAUUUAUCCUAAUUUUAUUACAAAUAUUAACAAUAAAUACAAAGUAUUCAAAACACAUUUUAUCACUAAUAUCUUACUAAUUAUUAAUAAGAUACUCCCAAAAUAUGAAAUAUUAAAAUUUCAAAAUACAUAACCAAACUCCAAUACUCCAUCUAUAUAAACAUAAUCAUAAUGUUAUAAAGAGAAAUAACACAUGUUUGAUUUGAAUAAAAUCAUGUUUGAUUUGAAUAAAAUUAUUAACACAUGUUUGAUUUGAAUAAAAUAAAAAAAUAAUUCGGUUCUUCGGUUCGGUUUUUUGGUUCAGCUAAGUGAACCGAAUACCGAACCGACAUUUCAGUUUUUUUUACAAACGGUAUAUUCGGUUUUUUUAAAAAAUAAAAACCGAACCGAAUUAAAAAAAACCGUCGGUUCGGUUUUUUUUAACAUUACGGUUUUUUUGCCCACCCCUAAUCUCACUCCUACGCCUCAAGACAAACAAGCUCACACUUCACGGAUCAGUCAAAGGAUCGGCUUUCAAGUCGUUGAAUUCACGGUGGUCAAACUAACGGAAAAACUAACGUGACGUCAAUCAGAUACGGUUUAUAAUAUAUGUAUCCUCAAUCAACGCAAAAAGUUUGAUCUGAAAAACCCUCUGCCUAAAACGCGUUUUCAGAAACGCGGUUUUGUUUUUCAAGUGGUUCCCAGAGCAUCCAUGCCAUGCUCUGUAUCAAUCAUUUCGUGCAUGUUUGGAGUUUGGCACGGCCAUUUUUACUGACUUUGUUAAGAAGUACUUAGAAGCUCAUUAGGAAAUGAUAACAAACGAAGCCUUGCGCUUUUACAUGUUACAUGCAUUAUUGGUAAGACGGUUGAUGAGUUACGUUAUAUGAACCCACAAUUAGUCGCCCAAUAGCCACCAUAUAUUAAAUAAUCAGUCAAAUUUUGAAUUGGGUAGUUAACUAAUUUCGAAUUACCGUAAGUCAUAAAUAAUGCAGGUUAGUAAGACCCGAGCCUAGGCAAAUUAAGGUCGUUAUCGCCUCUAAAUCAAGGCUGCAUAACCCAAAGUUAAGGGCACAUGUUCGAGUCCCAACUCCACAGUGUUGGAACUCUAUUAUAGUAUUAUUCCCUUUCACAUUAAAAGGAUAGGAUGGUUAUUUCUCUUACAUAUGUAGAUAGAUCAAAUAUAUCUUCUAAAUAAUAAUAGAUUUAUCAUUUUAAAGAGUUGUUUUAGAUAUGUGGAUAGAUCAAAUAAUAGACACCCUUUCCAUGAAAGGAGACUCAUUGAUUAUUGUUAAAAAAAAAAUUCGUUGAUGUUAUUAGAGAACUUGCAAUUUUUUUAUAACACUAAAUUUUUUAAUUUUUUAAGAUUUUUCUAUGAAUAGCAUGAAUUUUUUAUAGCAUUGGUAAUGAGGAUAUUAUGGACCUUUAGAUUUAAAUAUUUUAAUCUUCGCCAUUCAUUCAAUUUAGUGGAUAAAUAACUAAUUACUUAAUUUUUCAAGUUGCAUGUAGUAUAUAAGUUUAUGUAUGUAAUUCUAUUUUUAAUAAAUAAAUAAAUAAAUUUUAAAUCACUAACAAAAAAAAAUGCAAAUAUGUAUGUUAGUUUAGACGUGUACAUAAUAGAUAUGAAUUGAUAUUAUUUAAUUAUUGCACAAGACAUGCUAAUAAUGAUCUCUUUUGUCAAUAAUAAUCAGGAGAAUAAAAUGUUAAUUUCUUGAUUUUACUGGAUGGCUAAGAUCGAGUUAAGUCAAUUUUCGUUAUAUUUGUUAAUCUAAUAAUAUGUUGGCGAAAAAGAGGGAAUAUGAUUACAAACUAAGAUUGAGUUAAUUUUUUUAAUUCAGUCUUUAAAAAAUUGUACAACUGGUUUGAUAAUUGGUUAAUGAAAUUUUAAAUAACUAAAAUCAAGAUAUUAUUUUAACUAUAACUUCUAAUUUUGUACCAAACGUUGAUGAUCUUGAUGGGCGCAGAGGAUAGUUGGGUACGGUGCUGUAGUGGGCAACUAUGAGGAUAAAGUGAUGGUGACUGGAAUUGACAUAGGGGUAUACUUGGAUGAUGUUGAUUAUAGUGCGGCUGAGGCUUUAUGCUUUAGCUUAGAGUUGCUUAUCAAGAAUCUAUUAAUAACACAUUAUACUCAUACACCAAAGUUUAAUCUGAAUGAAUCAAGUAAUUCUAUGUUAAUAAAAGUUUUUAGACUUACGAUGAGGGUCUAGUUUAUAUAAAUGCAAAUAACACUGAAAUCUAAUAAUCCUUUACAAAUAAAUAUGAUUUAUUCAAUUAUCGCAAACAAUUGUUUUAUCAGAGUUAAUUACAUUAUUGCUAAACUUGUAUAAGCUUUCCUGUUUCAAGCAUAUCUACUUAAUUACAUUAUUCAUCGACAAUGUUACUUUGCUAGUAGAAGUUUUAUGUUUUCAUACCUUAAUCACUAUUUAACGCUUCGUUUUCCAAUAGUUCUAAUUCUUCAAAUUUUGGUUUUAUUCUUCCAUAAUUAUAAAUUGAUACUGAUUCGCACGACUCAAAUUAAAGUGGUUAAUUACUCUAAAAGUAUAAAUUUGGCAGUCAAUAAUUACUUAAAAAUAAUUGCAAAAAAAUUAAUAAGGAAUAGUAUAAAUUUAAAAACCGCUAAAGUUACGAGAUCCAUGCUUGAUAUUUAAAUCAUGGUCAUAAUACUCUUUCUCUCUCUCUCUCUCUCUCACACACACACACACAUAUAUAUAUAACCACUUUCAAUAUUAUGUUACUUAGUUCUUAAUUAACCGCUCUAUAAAUAAAUAUGAGAAUUAAGUACAUAUUAUGCUACAACCUUAUUGGAGUGUUCCCACUACCAUAUUAGUAGUCAACAUUAGGUCUAAACACCCACAUAAUAUUUUUGGUGAACUUGCAACCACAACCUUUAAAUUAGGGGUGGGCACGGUUCGGUUCGGUUCGAAAUUAAGUAGAACCGAUUUAAAUCGGUUAUUUUAUAAAAAGAACCGAAUAAGAACCAAACUCAAUAAGAACCGAACUCAAACGGUUCUUUUCGGAUCGGUUCGGUUCGGUUCGGUUUUUUCGGUUCUGGGUCUAUUGGGCCUAUUUUGAAUUUUUAAAUUUUUAGCCCAUUGGGCCUCAUAAAUGUAAUAAUUUUUUUCAACAAUUAAUUUAUCCUAAUUUUAUUACAAAUAUUAACAAUAAAUACAAAGUAUUCAAAACACAUUUUAUCACUAAUAUCUUACUAAUUAUUAAUAAGAUACUCCCAAAAUAUGAAAUAUUAAAAUUUCAAAAUACAUAACCAAACUCCAAUACUCCAUCUAUAUAAACAUAAUCAUAAUGUUAUAAAGAGAAAUAACACAUGUUUGAUUUGAAUAAAAUCAUGUUUGAUUUGAAUAAAAUUAUUAACACAUGUUUGAUUUGAAUAAAAUAAAAAAAUAAUUCGGUUCUUCGGUUCGGUUUUUUGGUUCAGCUAAGUGAACCGAAUACCGAACCGACAUUUCAGUUUUUUUUACAAACGGUAUAUUCGGUUUUUUUAAAAAAUAAAAACCGAACCGAAUUAAAAAAAACCGUCGGUUCGGUUUUUUUAACAUUACGGUUUUUUUGCCCACCCCUAAUCUCACUCCUACGCCUCAAGACAAACAAGCUCACACUUCACGGAUCAGUCAAAGGAUCGGCUUUCAAGUCGUUGAAUUCACGGUGGUCAAACUAACGGAAAAACUAACGUGACGUCAAUCAGAUACGGUUUAUAAUAUAUGUAUCCUCAAUCAACGCAAAAAGUUUGAUCUGAAAAACCCUCUGCCUAAAACGCGUUUUCAGAAACGCGGUUUUGUUUUUCAAGUGGUUCCCAGAGCAUCCAUGCCAUGCUCUGUAUCAAUCAUUUCGUGCAUGUUUGGAGUUUGGCACGGCCAUUUUUACUGACUUUGUUAAGAAGUACUUAGAAGCUCAUUAGGAAAUGAUAACAAACGAAGCCUUGCGCUUUUACAUGUUACAUGCAUUAUUGGUAAGACGGUUGAUGAGUUACGUUAUAUGAACCCACAAUUAGUCGCCCAAUAGCCACCAUAUAUUAAAUAAUCAGUCAAAUUUUGAAUUGGGUAGUUAACUAAUUUCGAAUUACCGUAAGUCAUAAAUAAUGCAGGUUAGUAAGACCCGAGCCUAGGCAAAUUAAGGUCGUUAUCGCCUCUAAAUCAAGGCUGCAUAACCCAAAGUUAAGGGCACAUGUUCGAGUCCCAACUCCACAGUGUUGGAACUCUAUUAUAGUAUUAUUCCCUUUCACAUUAAAAGGAUAGGAUGGUUAUUUCUCUUACAUAUGUAGAUAGAUCAAAUAUAUCUUCUAAAUAAUAAUAGAUUUAUCAUUUUAAAGAGUUGUUUUAGAUAUGUGGAUAGAUCAAAUAAUAGACACCCUUUCCAUGAAAGGAGACUCAUUGAUUAUUGUUAAAAAAAAAAUUCGUUGAUGUUAUUAGAGAACUUGCAAUUUUUUUAUAACACUAAAUUUUUUAAUUUUUUAAGAUUUUUCUAUGAAUAGCAUGAAUUUUUUAUAGCAUUGGUAAUGAGGAUAUUAUGGACCUUUAGAUUUAAAUAUUUUAAUCUUCGCCAUUCAUUCAAUUUAGUGGAUAAAUAACUAAUUACUUAAUUUUUCAAGUUGCAUGUAGUAUAUAAGUUUAUGUAUGUAAUUCUAUUUUUAAUAAUGACAAUUGAUUGUGUUAGCAUUUUGGUCAAAAAGGUGGACCCCCCCAAAAACAAACAAAAAAAAUUUAUGAUAAUAAUUAACAUUGAUAAAUAAAAAUAUUAAUAAUGGGUGUGUUAGCAUUUUGGUCCAAAGCCGAUUUGGCCUUGACAUUAAUUGGAAUUUUGGAUCUAUAAUAUGAUUUUCACCGAAAAGAUAAUUUUGCCGCUAAUUAUUUGGGUAGUCAGAUAAUAAUAACAAAAAAAUGUUAUCUCGAUCUCACCUAUAACUUGAGGAGAUAAUAAUGAUAGUCUUUCAUAAUACUCUACUGUUUAGUUUCUCUUCUUCAUUUUUUUCCCCUUUGAAGUCUUUCAACAAAAAUGGGUGGCAUCAUCUCAACCUUCUUCUCAGCGGACACAAUUCGUCCAAUUUUAUUUUACGUCGGUGGACGAGCAAAGUAUAUAUGGGGUCUUAAAGGUAAUCUCGAUGACUUGCAAACUGAAACGGAGAACUUGAUUGCGAAAAAACUAGAUCUACUGAAUAAGGUUAGGCUUGCCGAACAACAACAGCCUCGUGCCCAACGGACGAGCACGGUGAAACUCUGGUUCGAAAGGGUGGAUCGAAGUGUAACUCUUGUUGAGGGGCUGCAACAAGAAAGAGAUCAAGAGAUUGACAGAUUGUGUCUUGGAGGCUUCUGUUCCAAGGACUUGAUUUCAAGCUACGACUUCGGCAAAAAGGUGGAGAAGUUGAAGGAAGAAGUAAUCAAAUUGAGGGAAAAAGGAGAAGCAAUGAAAGAAGUUUAUGAGGGGUUACCAGAAGGUGCAGCGGUUGCAAUAGCUGUUGACCGAACAAUUGUUGGUCAAGAAUCAAUACUUGACCAAGUUUGGAGAUGCAUCACUGAUCAAAAAAAGAAUAAUGGAAUUAUUGGCUUAUAUGGUAUGGGGGGCAUCGGCAAAACUACUCUGUUAAAACAAGUCAAUAACAAAUUCUGCAGUGAGGAGCAUGAUUUUGAUGUCGUUAUCUGGUCGGUUGUAUCUAGAGAGCCAAACUUGAAGCAGAUUCAAGAGGAUAUUGGGAAAAGGAUAGGCUUCUCAACAGAUUCAUGGCAGAGAAAAAGGUUUGAAGAAAGGGCUUCAGACAUCACCAACACUUUAAAGCAUAAGAAGUUUGUAUUGUUAUUGGAUGAUAUAUGGGAGUCCGAAAUUGAUUUAACCAAAUUGGGCGUCCCUCUUCAGACACUAGAUUCUGGGUCCAGAAUAGUCUUCACAACUCGUUUUGAGGGUACUUGUGGUAAAAUGGGAGCCCAUAAGAAUCGGUACAAAGUGUUUUGUUUGGGAGAUGACGAUGCCUGGAAAUUAUUUGAGGGGGUGGUCGGGAGAUACGUUCUUAACAAGCAUCCCGACAUUCCGAAGUUAGCCGAGGAUGUGGCACGUCAGUGUCAUGGUUUGCCGCUAGCACUCAAAACAGUAGGUAAUGCCAUGGCGAGCAAAGUGUACCCUGAAGAAUGGAAAGAAGCAAUUGAGAUCCUAAGCGCAUCAGCUUCUAAAUUCGAAGAUAUGGAGAAAAAGGUGCUUUCGAGCUUAAAGUUCAGCUAUGAUAGUUUGCCGAAAGAUGAACUUCGAUCUUGUCUCCUGUACUGUUGCUUAUUUCCCGAAGACUCUGAAAUUCUAAAAACCGAGUUGAUAGAGUAUUGGAAAAGUGAAGGAUUUGUGCAUUCUAGCAGCGGGUGGGGGGUUCUUGGUGCUCUCGUUCGUGCAUGCUUAUUGGAGGAAGCAGGUGAUCGUGUAAAAAUGCACGAUAUGAUCCGUGACAUGGCAUUAUGGAUAGCAAAUGAAGUAGAGGAGGAGGAGGAGAACUUUUUGGUUCGUGCAGGAGUUGGAUUAACUGACGCCCCAAAGAUUGAAGAAUGGGAAGGGGUCAAAAGGAUAUCCUUGAUGCAGAACAAAAUUCAAAGUCUACCACAAAUUCCCUCUUGUCCGCGUCUGCAAACAUUGCUUCUGGCGAGUAAUCGUAUUAAGGAGAUCACUGAGAGUUUCUUUCAAUCUUUGCCUUCACUUAGAGUUUUGAGUCUAAGAAGAAAUCGUUCCCUGACUGAACUUCCUGUGGGGAUUUCAAGUCUGGUUUCAUUACACCAUCUUGAUAUGUCUUCUACUAAAGUACGUGGAUUGCCGCAAGAGCUCAAGGCAUUGGUGAAUCUGAGAUAUUUGAACUUGGAGUAUACACGUGGAAUGUCUAGAAUUCCACAGCAAUUAAUAUCAAGCUUUUCAAAGUUACAGGUACUCAGGAUGCUGCGUUGCGGUCGACGUUACCAGCCAAUAGUGGAAGAAGGCAACGUUCUAUCUGCUGAUGCUGAAUCAUUGAUGAAGGAAAUCCACUGUUUGGAACAAUUAAAUCUCAUCACCUUGUCCUUACAUGGUUCGCGUGGUGUUGAAAACUUUCUGAAAUUCCCAAAGCUGCAGAAUAUCACUCAAGCUCUGUCCAUCGAAGACUGCAACAGUCUACCGCUCAAUUUGUUACAUCUAGCAAACAUGGAGCAUCUUGAGGAGUUAUAUAUCGAGGAUAGUAAUUUGGAAGACUGGAAUGUCGACUGCGCGGGAGAGGUACAAAAAAUGCGUAAACUUCACUCGGUUCUCAUACGGAAUUGCUCAAAUGUGAAGGACUUGACGUGGCUUGUUUUUGUUCCAAAUCUCAAGUGGCUGCGAAUAGUUGGUUGUGAUGACAUGGAAGAAAUAAUCAGUGUUGAAAAAUUUGAAAAAUUGAGUGAAGUUUCAGAGAUGAUGGGAGAGCUUAACUUGUUCUCAGAACUCGAACUUCUGGUAAUAAGAAAUGCAAGUAAUUUGGAGCGCAUCUACCGCGAUCCCUUGCCCUUUCCACAGCUGAACCGAAUUAGCAUAUUGAAAUGCCCAAAGUUGAAGAAGCUCCCACUCAAUUCCAGCAGCGCAAAGGGACGUAAAAUUGCCCUUGCGGGACAGAAAGAAUGGUGGGAAGAGCUACAAUGGGAGGAUCAAGCCACUCAAAAUGCUUUCUCUCCCUGUUUCCGACCUAUUGAAGAAUAAAGUGCGAUAAGGCACAAAAGUGUGAAUAAAAUUUCUGCGCGUGCUUAAUGAUUAUCUUGUCUAUCUAUUUCAUUUAAUUUAAAAGUUUUCUACGGAGUUGCAUGUGUGUCACUUGUCAUUCUUCUGUACUGCUGUUUCCUAUUUCCAGUUAAUAAAAUUUUUUUGUUCUUAGAGUUAGAAAUGCUUUACUUGUAAGGGAGAUUCACAAUUUUCCCAUAUUAUGAUUAAUAUAUUCUUUUUACUUUCCUACUAUUUUGCAUAAUUUUUUAAUAUUAUUUUUAUUUCUAAAUAUAUUUUUAUUCAUAUUUAUUAUAAAUUAAAUAAAUGUAUGAAUAGAAAUAAAAAUAAAAAUAAAAAUUAAGUAUUAAAACAAGAAAUAUAUAUUAUGAUUUGAAUAAAAAAUAAAUAUUUUUUUGUACUUAGAAUGCCAUUUGUCGUGAGCACCUGAAUCCCCAAAGGACUCCCAGCUUCAAGUGGCUUUGACUUAGCUUGCUUUAGCUCCAUUGCACAUACUCACUCACAUGGAGGAAAUGAACAGAACAAGAAACCUCAUCAUGCCGAAUAUGAUAGAUAUGACAAGGCAUUACAUUGUAGGAAGCUCCCGAUUUCUCUAAAAAACUCUGCAGGUUCUCCGCAAUCAAGGCGUGCUCCAUCUUUAACAGAUCACUUCUACCAUUAAGAGAAGGAAGAGAGUUCCUCUCGUGUGACAGUAAAUCCUUACUUAACACAGGAUUGGAGCCAACCAAGAAGGGAAGGCAAUUUCGUUAGAUUAAGAAUCGAAUCACCAUCCAAUAUAGUAGCAUUUGAACCAGAACUCUUGUUAAAUUCUUGAAAUCUCCUGCUUUCAUCAGUCUGUAAGAGAAAUGAAGAUGAGAAUAAUAGCCAGAACCGGAUUAAAUUCAAUCUGGUCUUUUGAAGACUUCUAUAACAACUAAGAGAACCCAGUGUACCGCCUACAGAUACUGUCAGGCUUCUAUCAAAUAUCCCAAACACCAAAAACCAACCAAAUUAAGCUAACAAACCUGCAUGAAUAUCUAAAUUUCAAUGCAUAUGAAACAAACUCCAUGUUCAAUCCACCAAAACUAGCAAAUUUCAAACUUUAUCACUCAUCAUUCUCUCUCUGUCAGCUGUACGAGGCUAUGAGAUCAUGUUAUAAUGUUCAUAUUGAUGCUGAAUGUUUUGCCAGCUUGUCUGAAUUCCAUAAGAGAAUGCAAUGUGCACAUUAUUGUGCCUUGCCCACCAGUAGAUUCUAAACCACAAAAUCAUUCUGUGAAGUAGCUGACGUUUCGCACAUUCUUAUCCCUUACCAUCAAUAUUCUUCUCCUCAAGCUUAGAUCAUGGAAAUUUGAGUGAUAACACGAUCUAAACUUUAGGGGCAUAAAGUAACAUAGAAGCAACAUGGGAUGUUUUAAAAUCUAUUAUAAUUUGCUUAGGCCCCUGAAUAAAAUUAAAACUUGAAAUGAAAUAAAGUAGCAAAAUAAAGAUUGGAGGUCGCAUGCUUGAUAUUUGAUGCUGUCAAAAUUAAUUUGCAGUGCUGAAAUUGCUGCUCCAAUAAAUUUUUCAAUGGGAUUUCCAUAUUUACAACAAAUUUUCAGUAUUGAAACAGGAUUAAAAUCAUAAAGUGUCUUUUAAACAGCAGAGGCAACAAGAUCCUACAGAAAAAGAAGGCAAAAAGUAGUUACAAGCUACAGAAACGCAAAUAUUCUACUGGCCAACUCCCACUAAAUUCGAAGCGAUUCUAAAAUCUCAGCUUGUACUACUACAUCAUUCCUUCUAUGUAGCCCAACUGUACUUCACCCAGAAAUCACAUUUCUUCAUCAGAGAUAAUUUUACAUCAUUCCUUAUCAUUAGGCAUAAGGCUCCCAAUGUUCUUGGAGGAAUUAUGAUGAAUAUGAGGGUUUCAAAAAAGAAAAAAAAAUAUUAUGACAACCUCUAGGCGGAGGAAAUCAGUUUUCUAGGAAUUCGUUAGAUUGGUGAAGUUAUAGAACCUUAGCAAUUUGCUGUAGUUUGGAAUGUUUUUGCCUUUCAUUAUAGCAUUUGCAAAGGCUCAAGGAUAUAGAAGAACCUUGGCUACAAAUUCAGGGAAGAUUUCACUUAUAAUGAGAAAUAAUCACCAUUAUUCUAUACAAUGAGAAAACAGUUAUGGAAGAAAUAGAAAGAAUUACCCGAAACGAAGGAUUUGGAAGACAAUGAGACAAAAGUAUAAAGAAGAAGAAAUUGGAGAUAUAAUGGCUGCCAAUUUCUUUGAUGAACCCAUCAAAAACGGCUUGAAAAUUAAAGAAAUUGUCAAAUGCUGUAACGGAGGAAUUGAAACUGUAAAAGAUGCAAGUUAAUUCAUGGGGCUGGCCAUCUUGAUUGAUUGAACACCUACACGUGACAAGUGUGCGAUAAUCG